UUUUCGGCGUUAAUUUUUCCAAAUCCAAAAUCACAAUCACGCUGCGUGUGACUCUGUCUCCACACUAUAAUAAUACGACAGUUACACUCUUCACACAAAUUUUCAACAACACCAAAACGUAACGGUCAAAUUUUCGCUCCCAUUUUUUCAAUUCAUUCAUUAAAUUAAAAUCACUCACAAAAAAAAAAUCACGCUCGCGUUUUCUUCUCUGGUUCUACAUUAGCUUAAUUUUUUU
rnacentral:lncRNA from 1 species